rnacentral:tRNA from 1 species
GGAAGUGGCUCAUUGGUAAAGCAUUUGCUUGGCAUGAAAUAGGCCCCUGGUUCAAACCCUGGCAUCUCCA